ACAAAGUAUGGGUGGAAGGGAGGAUCUGCACCCCCAUUUUACAGAUGGGAACUGAGACACAAGGAGAUCAACAAAAGGUGGAAGAUUAAGUAGUCUCUCUCCUAUACGUCUUUAUCUUGAACCGUCCUGCUAUUCCUGCUGCACCUCCUCUCCCCCUGCUCAGCAUAAUAAUCACACUUGGUUUGAACACCCAAUUUACAUGGCUUUCAGACCAGCUCAUCCCACUGUCUAACUUCACCACUAAGUCUGGUCCAGAGGUUUCCAUGGGAGUUAGAUCUGCUUACACCAGGGCUGCAUUUGGCCCAGUACGUGUAGAGAGGAGACCUUGAGAAAACUUUGCAAGAAUUAGAGUGCAAAUAAGCAGAGCAAUGAGAAAAAGAGGGGACAGAGCUUUCAAAUUCUACCAAGAAAGCAAACAUUAAAGAGGGUAAUGAACAUGGUACAGGCCAAGUUACUUGUGCAACUGCCAAUCAGUCAAGGUAAUUGGCCAAGGGUUCAGGCUUAACCUCCAUAGUUGAAGAUAACCAGUCAUUUGGAUCACAGGUGGUUUAGACAGAAACUAAUAUGGAGAAAUAUACAACAGUGUUUUCGCACCUUGGACGUGAAUGGAUACCUUACCUCACAGAGGCCCCUCAUCAGGGGAGCAGAGCAUCCCCACUUUCAAUAAACUAGGCAAGUGCAACAUAGAUGCUAGUGGAAAUGGGUUUAGCUAUUCUGAGCACUGAAUCUCAAUUCAACAAUUCAUGUAAACCAUUAAAGCAUGAAAGUUAUGACGGAGACACUUAAUCAUGAGCAGCUGAUGUUCAGCCUUGGAAACUAAGCAGUGGUUCCCUGGCUAAUACUCCCAGUCCAUUUGAAAGGCGAGUGCAGAAUGUUAAUUAUUCCUUGCCCACCAACCCUUGGUUUCUGAACAGUUACAAAUUUGAUUUGCCCCUCGAUUGUGAUUUUCUGCCUAUUGAGCUUUCCUCGCUGCACUAACUCAAGGAAGAUCCUCACGUGCCAGGUCCUACAAAAGUCACCCAUCAUAAUCUAAAUGCCAGCCUCACAGUUUUGCCCUCUGGUGCGAAUUUACAGGCACAAGUGAGGGCCUAUAACAGGCUAGAAGUGUUUGCCUGAAACACCCCAACCUGUUAGCGGAUCUUCAGCCAGCUGACAAAAGUGUUCUGUGGGUUCUGCUGACUGAACAAGGCAGAUGACUCACUGGUCCACCUGCAUAAAAGGUAGCUGGGAGUGACUUUCGGAGGGAGAGAGGAUCUAGGGUGUGGACUGAACACUUCUGAGGGAGGAGCCUGUCAGAGCAGCCAACCCUGGUGAGAAGCCUUGAGCUAAACUUUGUUUAUUGCUGAACUCUUUCAUUAACAAAUCAAAACUCCAGGAAGGCAGUGAAUUUCGACUCUGCAUCGAGGUAUGGAGCUGUCCAGCUGCAUGACUAUGCCCACAAGACAGGUAGCUGGAUGUCUACAUACCCUCCUCUGUGCUCACAGUUAUUCGCAGGCACAAAAGGGAAGACCCCUUCAAGACCAGGUCUUAAAGCUCCACAGUAGAUCCUUUUUCUGCAUUGUACAUCUGCACAGACUAAGUUCCUUUAAGAUGGUGACUUCAUCUCUAUCUUGCAUAGCAUCAGAGACACCAUGAGUACGUAACCAAUACUAUCAAUAAUCUUACCAUGGUGGAAUGUAUCAUUGAGGCAUUCUAACCCCUGCUGAUUAGGUAGCAACAGCCAUUUGAGAAAGGGAAGAACAUGUGUUCUACAACAUACAGCAGAAUAAGCUGGAAGGCACUGAAUGAGCAGACGGACAUAAUAUUCCAAAGUUAAAUGUUACAGCAAUGCAAACUGGCAAGUUACAUUUAGGGGAAACAUUUAAAGCAUGUUAUUCAGAGAAUGUAGCAUGGACUCUGCAAGUAUCCAGCUUUUUAGGAGUACUGAUUUCAAAGAAACAUAAGAGGAGGAAAUAUUUGUUUGGUGGAAAGGAAACCAGCCAAAAGACACUUCCAACAUUUCAGAUGAACACUUCAUUUUUUGUUUGUUGGAUCUGAAAGCUUGAUUAAAAGAUAAUUAAGGUCCCGGUCCUACAAACACAUAUGCUGAACUUCAAGCAUUUAAGUCAUCUCACUGAAGUCAAUGCAACUGCUCUUAAAACACAUGAACAUACAACCCAAAGCGAUCUCCUGGCUCAUCAAAUCCAGCCUGCUGUUAUUGCAGGCAAUCCCAUUAUACUAUCUGAUUCAUAAAUUUAUCAAACUCCUUCUUAAAACUAGUUAGGUUGUAUGGUCCCACUACUUCUAAUGGCAGGCUGUUGCAGAACCUCACUCCUCUGAUGGUUAGAAACCUUCUUCUAAUUUCCAGCCUGAAUUCAUUCAUAACCAGUUCAUACCCAUUUAUUCUUGUGCCAACAUUGUUCUUUAGCAAGCUCUUCUCCCUUUGCACCAUUCACCCCCUUAAUUAUUUGAAGGUAAGCACGUGUGUAAAUGCUUGCAGGACUGGACCUAGGCGAAAGAAUAUUUGCUGCAGGGUGACCAGUGAUAAUGCUGUCACUCUGGAAAUUAUUGGAGGAUUUGUGUUCUCUGAAGAACAUGGCAGAAUAUGAGAUUCUGGCAAGGAAAAGGGGAGGUGAUCAUUGAAACAAGACAAAAGAAAAAAAUUAACGGAGAAAGUUAGCUGGUAAUCAUAUAAUUACCUUCUGAUACCUGUGAGGCCACUGCACAUGCAAGUGAAAGAGAAAAGGAAAAACAACAAAGGCAAAAGAAAAGACAAGUUCAACUGGCUAGGAUGACGACUCGAUGUUUAAAAAAAUCUUUGAAAUUGCACAACAAUUUACAUUAUCUGUUUGAUUUUCCACUUUCAGAUUAUAACAGUAAUAGCUUUAACAUUAUAUAUAUAUAUAUAUUCAUCUUGUGGGGAAAAAAAAAAAAAAGAGUUAAGAUAAGAAAGAAUAAUCCUCCUCCUGCUACUCUUCCCGUUCAGUACCAGGACUGGGAGGGUAAGAUAGAGCACUUGGGUCUGAACUUCAGAAGGCAAAGGGAGAAAUAGAAAUGAAUGUCCCUGAAAUAUGUUAUGGUUGGGUCAACGUGAGAUCAAGUGCUUUUCCCUGUUUAUUAGGAGUUUCAAAUGGGAGAUGUGCCACAUCAAAGUCUGGUGGAGGAUUGUGUUCUUGUGAUUUAAAAAAAAAAAAAAAAGAAGAAGAAGAAGAAGAAGGAUGCCUGGAUGUGUGGUUUUUUUUAAUUAAAGAACACUGCCUGCCCUACUUUAUUAAUUGGAAUAUGGGAAAUAAUCUGUCCGUGUGGUGGGGAGUCUGGGGAAUAGGACAGAUGGGGCUGGUGUGCAUUUUCAAUCAAAGCACAUAAAAAUUAACAUACAGAAAGAUGGGUUUUUUGGUUUUUUUUUUUUUUUUUUUUGCUAGACUACUUAUGCUUGAUUUUUUUUUCAAAGGCUCAAAUUAAGUCUGUUUUGUAUCUCUGUGCCUCAGGAAAGAAGAAAAAGAAAGAAUUUAUAGUGUUUAUAGCACUGGAAUUUCAACCCCCACCUCUUCCAUCUCCUUUUAUUUUAAUACUGAAAGAUCAUUCCAGUCUAAAAAGGAUUCCAAAGGACUUUUCUCUGAACAAAUAACAUCGGCGGAUUGAAAAACAAUCAGAAAAUUAAAAUUAAAAAACCUGAAAGUAAAGUUGGUUAUUAAAUACUUAUUUUGAGGUGCUGCCCAUAGGGCUAUAUCCAGCUAGAUGGGAUUCCUUUCCGGGAUACCACAGCCUACUGCUGAUACUGAAGCCUUAUUCUGAUGGCUUACUUGAGAGUUAAGUAGUGUAUAAAAGAUUUGUGCAGACACACAGUUAAAAGUGACGACACAAGAGAUUCAGCCGGUGUCUCUCUACCUCAGUGGCGGUAGAAGACUUCGCCCUGUUUGAGGUGAGAUUUUCAAAAGAGUUGGUCUGACUUUGCUCCCGCAGAAGUUCGUUGUCAAACUCUCAGCGACCUCAAGGGGAGCAGAGUUAGGCCAGUCUAGCUACAGGACUUAGUUGACCCCAUUACCAGAGUAGCUGAGCACCCCCAAAUCUUUAAUGUAUUUAUCUUUACACACCCCUGUGGGCAGGGCAGUGCUAAUAUCCCCAUUGUGUAGAUGGGGAACUGAGGUAAAGCGACUUGCCAAGGUAACACAGGACUCUGGGGUAGAGCAGAGAAUUGAACCCGGGUUCAGACCCAAGCGCUCCAAGAAGCAAUCAUUUAUGCUGUCUAGAAAUUGUAUGUCCUGUUACUACUGUGACCUGAAACUAUUCCAUAAAGAAAUAAUUUUAGAUAUUGGUUUCCACCAACCAUUUAUAGCCUUUAUUUAAUGUAUGCCCUUCAUCUCAGCUGGAUGAUGAAAACAGGCUACUCACGGCUUGUCUUCACUACAGGGGUAAGUCGACCUAAGUUAUGUAGCUUGGGUCGACUUCUCCCAGUGUCUUCACUGCACUGCGUCAAUGGGAGACGCUUUCCGGUCGACUUCCUUUAUUCUUCUCAGGGAGCUGGAGUACCGGAGUCAACUGGAGAGCCCCCUGCCAUUGA